rnacentral:ncRNA from 1 species
CGCCGUUCUCAGGGCGGGGCGGAAUUCCCCACCGGCGGUAUGCGGGCAUAGGCCCGCCAGCCCGCGAGCGGCUCGGCCGUCUCCACGAUCCGAACAGUUUUCGGACAAAUCGUGGAAGUACGAAAGAGUGUCAGCAGAUCUGGUGAGAGGCCAGAGCCGACGGUCAAAGUCCGGAUGAAAGAGAACGAGC